CAGCAGCCGCGGUAAUACGAGGGGGGCAAGCGUUGUUCGGAAUUAUUGGGCGUAAAGGGCGCGUAAGCGGUUUGGCAAGUUUGAUGUGAAAUCUUCGGGCUCAACUCGAAGUCUGCAUCGAAAACUGCCGGGCUUGAGUAUGGGAGAGGUGAGUGGAAUUUCCGGUGUAGCGGUGAAAUGCGUAGAGAUGUGGAGGAACACCAGUGGCGAAGGCGACUCUCUGGUCUGUAACUGACGCUGAGGAGCGAAAGCGUGGGGAGCGAACAGGAUUAGAUACCCGCGUAGUCCCUGUCUCUUAUAC
rnacentral:rRNA from 1 species